rnacentral:rRNA from 1 species
UAAAGCGUGGUUAUGGAAACUACCAAACUAGAGCCAAAUGCCCACAAGGCUGUUAUACGCACCCGAGGGCCGGAGAUUCGCCAACGAAAGUGGCUUUACAAACCUGAACCCACGAAAGCUAUGAAACAAACUGGGAUUAGAUACCCCACUAUGCAUAGUCACAAACAUUGAUACCUCGCAACACACCAGCUAUCCGCCCGGGUACUACGAGCAUAAGCUUAAAACCCAAAGGACUUGGCGGUACUUCAGAUCCACCUAGAGGAGCCUGUUCUAUAACCGAUAAUCCCCGUUCAACCUCACCUCUCCUUGUCUAAACCGCCUAUAUACCGCCGUCAUCAGCUCACCCUGUGAAGGACUAAUAGUAAGCUUAAGUGUCAAAAUCCAAAAUGCCAGGUCGAGGUGUAGCGUAUGGAGAGGAAAGAAAUGGGCUACAUUUAGUGCACACCCACUAUAUACGGACGACGAGUUGAAAGACUCCACAAAAGGAGGAUUUAGCAGUAAGAGGAAAACAGAG